rnacentral:rRNA from 1 species
UACGUAGGGCGCAAGCGUUGUCCGGAAUUAUUGGGCGUAAAGAGCUCGUAGGUGGUUCGGUAAGUCGGAUGUGAAAUCUCCAGGCUCAACCUGGAGGGGUCAUUCGAUACUGCCGUGACUAGAGUUCGGUAGGGGAGUGUGGAAUUCCUGGUGGAGCGGUGAAAUGCGCAGAUAUCAGGAGGAACACCAAUUGCGAAGGCAGCUCGCUGGGACGUUACUGACGCUGAGACGCGAAAGCGUGGGGAGCAAACAGG